CCCGCACAAGCAGUGGAGUAUGUGGUUAAUUCGAAGCAACGCGAAGAACCUUACCAGGGCUUGACAUCCCUUGAAGCAGCUAGAGAUAGCUGUGUCCUUCGGGACAAGGAGACAGGUGGUGCAUGGUUGUCAUCAGCUCGUGUCGUGAGAUGUUGGGUUAAGUCCCGCAACGAGCGCAACCCCUGUGGUUAGUUGCCAGCAAGUAGCGUUGGGCACUCUAGCCAGACUGCCGGUGAUAAAUCGGAGGAAGGUGGGGACGACGUCAAAUCAUCAUGCCCUUUAUGUCCUGGGCUACACACGUACUACAAUGGCCGUUACAACGGGAAGCGAAGGAGCAAUCCGGAGCAAAUCCCUUAAAGGCGGUCCCAGUUCAGAUUGUGGGCUGAAACUCGCCCACAUGAAGGCGGAAUCGCUAGUAAUCGCAGGUCAGCAUACUGCGGUGAAUACGUUCCCGGGCCUU
rnacentral:rRNA from 1 species